rnacentral:rRNA from 1 species
AUUGAACGCUGGCGGCAGGCCUAACACAUGCAAGUCGAGCGGAUGAGAGGAGCUUGCUUCUCGAUUCAGCGGCGGACGGGUGAGUAAUGCCUAGGAAUCUGCCUGGUAGUGGGGGACAGCGUUUCGAAAGGAACGCUAAUACCGCAUACGUCCUACGGGAGAAAGCAGGGGACCUUCGGGCCUUGCGCUAUCAGAUGAGCCUAGGUCGGAUUAGCUAGUUGGUGAGGUAAUGGCUCACCAAGGCGACGAUCCGUAACUGGUCUGAGAGGAUGAUCAGUCGCACUGGAACUGAGACACGGUCCAGACUCCUACGGGAGGCAGCAGUGGGGAAGAUUGGACAAUGGGCGAAAGCCUGAUCCAGCCAUGCCGCGUGUGUGAAGAAGGUCUUCGGAUUGUAAAGCACUUUAAGUUGGGAGGAAGGGUUGUAGAUUAAUACUCUGCAAUUUUGACGUUACCGACAGAAUAAGCACCGGCUAACUCUGUGCCAGCCGCCGCAGUAAAAC